ACCAGACCUUCGGGUCUGGGGACAGCGGCGAACGGGUGAGUAACACGUGGGUAAUCAACCCUCGGUACUGGGAUAGCCCGGGGAAACCCGGAUUAAUACCGGAUGGCCCUUUGGAUCUUCGGAUCUGACGGAAAAGGUAGCUUCGGCCUCCGACCGAGGACGAGCCCGCGGCGGAUUAGCUUGUUGGUGGGGUAACGGCUCACCAAGGCGACGAUCCGUAGCUGGUCUGAGAGGACGAUCAGCCACACUGGGACUGAGACACGGCCCAGACUCCUACGGGAGGCAGCAGUGGGGAAUCUUGCGCUAAUGCGGGAAACCGUGACGCAGCGACGCCGCGUGAGGGAAGAAGGCCUUCGGG
rnacentral:rRNA from 1 species